UACGUAGGGUGCAAGCGUUAAUCGGAAUUACUGGGCGUAAAGCGUGCGCAGGCGGUUAUGUAAGACAGAUGUGAAAUGCCCGGGCUUAACCUGGGAACUGCAUUUGUGACUGCAUGGCUAGAGUUUGGCAGAGGGGGGUAGAAUUCCACGUGUAGCAGUGAAAUGCGUAGAUAUUGGGAAGAACACCGAUGGCGAAGGCAGCCAUCUGGACCGACACUGACGCUGAGGCGCGAAAGCGUGGGGAGCAAACAGG
rnacentral:rRNA from 1 species